GGGAGGAGGAGCUCGGGUUUGGGGUGCUCGAGGUUUCUCUUGCCACAGUGAUAUGUGUUUCCAGCCAGAAAGCUUUAUCUUCAGAUAUCAAAACUGUUAUCAAACAGCAGCUGGAGAAUGCCUCCAAUGGAUGGACAGCCUACAGGAUAGCUAGGCAGGCUUCCAGAAUGGGCAACCAUGAAAUGGCCAGAGAGCUCUAUCAAAGCCUGCUCACUCAAGUGGCAUCAGAACACUUCUACUUCUGGCUGAACAGCUUGAAGGAGUUCUCCCAUGCAGAACAAUGUCUGACAGGCCUGCAGGAGGACAACUACAGCUCGGCGCUGUCUUGCAUUGCUGAAGCUUUAAAAUCCUAUCACAAAGGAAUAGCAUCACUGACGGUUAGCACAGAUGUACUUUAGUGAUACCUUAGUGUACUUUAGAUGUACUUUACUGUAUACUGUAGCAUAGAAUCACAGACUGGUUUGGGUUGGAAAGGAGCUUAAGGUCUAGUGCCAACCCAACUAGGGGCAGUCACAGCUUCUCUGGGCACCCUGUGCCAGUGCAUCAGCACCCUCACAGGGAAGAACUUCUUUCUUAUGUCCAACCUGAACUUGCCUUGUUUCAGUUUGAAGCCAUCAACCUCUGUCCUAUUGCUGUGGUCCUUGAUCUGUUUGAUUUCUGUUCUUAAACCUCCGAGAAGUUUUUUGACAGUUGCUGACUCUGUUUGAGAGGACGGCAGGGAAGAGCCAGUUGUAACACACUGCAUCUGCAGAGAGAAGAUCCUGUAGCUCAGCCAAGUGUGAUUAGCUAGACUCCUUCACCACCUCCCCUUCCUGCCUUGAUCAGACCCUGUGAUAUGAUCACACAGGCACAUCUGGUUUUAAAGUCACAGCACUUAAAAUUUGUCACUCCUUGUUUUGGCUGAAUAAACACUAUUGUAAUAGUCAA